rnacentral:rRNA from 1 species
CCCAGACUCCUACGGGAGGCAGCAGUGGGGAAUAUUGGGCAAUGGGCGAAAGCCUGACCCAGCAAUGCCGCGUGAAUGAAGAAGGUCUUAGGAUUGUAAAAUUCUGUCCUAUGGGAAGAAACAAAUGACGGUACCAUAGGAGGAAGCCCCGGCUAACUACGUGCCAGCAGCCGCGGUAAUACGUAGGGGACAAGCGUUAUCCGGAUUUACUGGGUGUAAAGGGGGCGCAGACGGCGAUGCAAGCCAGGAGUGAAAGCCCGGGGCCCAACCCCGGGACUGCUCUUGGAACUGCGUGGCUGGAGUGCAGGAGGGGCAGGCGGAAUUCCUGGUGUAGCGGUGAAAUGCGUAGAUAUCAGGAGGAACACCGGUGGCGAAGGCGGCCUGCUGGACUGCAACUGACGUUGAGGCCCGAAAGCGUGGGGAGCAAACAGGAUUAGAUACCCGAGUAU